UAUGAUGUCUGAUUAAAAUAUUAGGCCUUAAUCCUGUCACCUUAGGUCGAUCGGUACCUCAGAUUGAAAGCUAUACGGUGAAUGUUAAUUCUCUAUAUUUACUUUCAAUUUUAGUUCCUAAACUUGUCUAGGUCACACCCAACAAACUUUCUCCUGGGCUAUUAGCUCAGGCGGUUAGAGCGCACCCCUGAUAAGGGUGAGGUCCCUGGUUCAAGUCCAGGAUGGCCCAUUCGUAGUUGGGGGUAUAGCUCAGUUGGUAGAGCGCCUGCUUUGCAAGCAGGAUGUCAGCGGUUCGAGUCCGCUUACCUCCACUGAUCACUACCUGAUAACUCAUUAAUGGAGAUUGUUGAUUGGUUAACGUGAUUUAGAUAUUGUUCAUCUGAAUGAACCUAGCUUCCUAUCAAUCCUUAAAAAAUUUUCUUGGAUGAUAAGACGCUGGGCUCACUGAUAUUCUUAAAGAUCAUCAGUUUGAUUCAGCAGAACCCUUGACAACUGCAUAGAAAAUCUAGAAAAAUAAAGCAUCUCAUAGAUGCAUAAAAAUUGAUAUUUAAUUUUUUUUUAAAUAUCAACUUUUAUGUUCAAUUCUUGAGUAGAGCAUAAUUUUUUGCAUUUAGUAAUAGGUGCAAAAUUAAUUUUAUUAU
rnacentral:tRNA from 1 species